CAGCAGCGCGGUAAUACGAAGGGUGCAAGCGUUACUCGGAAUUACUGGGCGUAAAGCGUGCGUAGGUGGUGGUUUAAGUCCGUUGUGAAAGCCCUGGGCUCAACCUGGGAAUUGCAGUGGAUACUGGGUCACUAGAGUGUGGUAGAGGAUAGUGGAAUUUCCGGUGUAGCAGUGAAAUGCGUAGAGAUCGGAAGGAACAUCUGUGGCGAAGGCGACUAUCUGGGCCAACACUGACACUGAGGCACGAAAGCGUGGGGAGCAAACAGGAUUAGAUACCCCAGUAGUCCCUGUCUCUUAUACA
rnacentral:rRNA from 1 species